rnacentral:pre_miRNA from 1 species
GUACCUAUGUGUGAAUGGUGUUCAGCACCAAGGACAGGUAUGUUCACCUAUGUGUGAAUGGUGUUUAGCAGCAAGAACUGGGGACUGUAACA